rnacentral:tRNA from 1 species
GGGGCCAUAGCUCAACUGGCAGAGCACCGCCUUUGCAAGGCGGGGGUUAGGGGUUCAAGUCCCCUUGGCUCCACCA